UGUCUUAAAAUGCUAAAAAUGGCUUCCUAAGACUAAUAUCUUUCAUUUUAGAGCACAUUUGUUCGGUUUUUGGAACACUUAAAAAGUGAUCAAAAUUGGCCAAAACGAGCGUAUUUGGUCGGUUUCUGGAAUGCUCAAAAAAUGGUCAAAAUUGGCCAAAACGAGCACAUUGGUCGGUUUCUGGAAUGCUCAAAAAGUGGUCAAAAUUGGCCAAAACG